ensembl:lncRNA
AAACUGUUUACAUAGCAGCCUUUUGUUACAGGUUUUAAAUCUUCUCAGGCUGCCAGUUUGAGGCUGAGGCUGCCAGCUGGCAGACAGAGAGGUGCUUGUGCUCCAACUGUUGGAGGUAAUUAACAGCCCGAACUGUCAGAAGGUGACAGCCGGCAGAAAGUUCCUGCCCUGGGGUCACAGCUGGAUUCCGGCAACUUGCUCCUUGAUUUACCAGUAAAACUAAUAAUUCCACGACAGAAAAUGUACAUACAUGGACAGUCAAAUGUUGAGAUGCAAACAAUAUUAGCAUUUGUAUGCCUUUGUCUUUUGAAAUCAGGAGGGGUGUAUUCCUGCCUGCAGACUUUGGGAAAUCACCACAGGGAGUCAGACUACUGAAGCACAGUCAAGCAAUAAAUCUACCAGGCUUCUUCUUCUACAAAAUAUAUUGUGAAUACAAUAGUGAGAUGGAUUGUCCACUGCAAAAGUCUCUUCAAGAACUUCAUGUCCAGUUCUUUUUCAUUAACUACACUUUGUCACAAAGCUUGGUAUUGAAUCACAGAAUCACACAAUCACAGGAUUGCAGGCACCAGAAGAGACCUCAAGAGAUCACCGAGUCCACCUCCCCUGCUAAAGCAGGUUCCCUACAUGUCACACAGGUUGGCGUCCAAAUGGAUCUUGAAUAUCUCCAUAGAAGGAGACUCCAUGACCUCCCUGGGCAAACUUUUCCAGUGUUCCAUCACCCUCAACAAAAAUAAAUUAUCCCGUGUGUUAGUAGAAUUUCCUAUGUACAAGUUUCAGGCCAUUACUCCUUGUGCUAUCUCUAUGCACCAUUGAGAAGAGCCUGGCCUCAUCCAUUUGCCUCCCACCUCCCUUUAGAUAUUCAUAAAUGUUUAUCAGAUCCCCCCUCAGUCUUCUCUUUCCCAGGCUGAACAGGCCCAGGUCACUCAGCCUUUCCUCAUGUGGGAGAUGCUCCAGGACCUUUAUCAUAUUUUUGUCCUUCCACUGGACUCCUUCUAGGAGUUCCCUGUCUUUUUUGAACUGAGGAGCACAGAACUGGACAUUGAAGCAUAAAAUGAAGAAUGGAAAAUCAGUUAAAAGUAUAAAUUUACAGAUUUGUUAUCAGUGUGUAUUUAAUUUGUUAGUAAAAACAACUCUCUUUAUCC